rnacentral:ncRNA from 1 species
CCCGCUGAACUUAAGCAUAUUAAUAAGCGGAGGAAAAGAAACUAACAAGGAUUCCCCUAGUAACGGCGAGUGAAGCGGGAAGAGCUCAAGCUUAAAAUCUCCGUGCAAGUUUUGCGCGGCGAAUUGUAGUCUAUAGAGGCGUGAUCAGUGUGGGCGCUUGGGGCAAGUUCCUUGGAAGAGGACAGCAUGGAGGGUGAUACUCCCGUUCAUCCCUGAGUUGCUCGUGCGUACGAUCCGUUUUCUUUGAGUCGCGUUGUUUGGGAAUGCAGCGCAAAGUAGGUGGUAAAUUCCAUCUAAAGCUAAAUAUUGGUGCGAGACCGAUAGCGAACAAGUACCGUGAGGGAAAGAUGAAAAGAACUUUGAAAAGAGAGUUAAAGAGUACCUGAAACUGCUGAAAGGGAACCGAAUCGUUUCCAGUGUCUAUAAUCCGUGGUAUAUUUCAUUGGCGAGUGUGUGCGUGCGUGUGCUGUGGCAGCGGCUUUUUUGGCUGCGCUCGGCGUGUGUGCUGUGUGUGCUUGCUGGUGCCCUGUGCUGCGGUGGGACGUCAAGGUCAGUUCGUAUGCUGCGGGAAAUGGCCGCCGAGGAGGUAGGGCUUACGCUUGCGUUUGUCUGUUAUAUCUUGGUGGACGAGUAGUCGCGGUUGGGACUGAGGUGCCUACAACGUGUUUUUGAGUGGGCCUGUGUCUCUGUGUGCGCCGUGUGCGGAUAGCUUGCUAUGCGUGUGUGUUGUGUGUGGAUUGAUGUGGGUUUUAACUUGUUUGCCGUUCGGGACGUUGACGAAAUGGAGCGAUUUGACCCGUCUUGAAACACGG